AGUACGUGAAACUGCUUAGAGGUUAAACCCGAUGAACCUGAAUAUCCAUUAUGGAAAAUUCAUCACUAAUAAUGUGAUAUUUUAAAAAUAUUAUAGUAAUGGUGUGCAAUUUUUCCAUAUAAGGACAUUGUAAUCUGUUAAUGUUAUAAAUAUUUAUCAUAAGAUCCAUUACUUAAGUUUAUUCAAAUUAGUUAUUUUCGGAUUUCUAACAUAGAAUAAAUGUUUUGGAUUUGAUAAAUCAUUGACAGAUAUAAUUAUAUAAAGUGCUUAAAAUUUUUCGAAAUUUUUACAAUGGUAAUUAAAUCUAAUGAUUUUUUUAUUUAAUUGUAUGCAUUUUUAUGAUUGACAAUGCGAUAGAUUCAGGAUACCUUCGGGACCCGUCUUGAAACACGGACCAAGGAGUCUAACAUAUGUGCAAGUCAUUGGGUAUUUUUAAUAAAACCCAAUGGCGUAAUUAACUUAACUGUAAUGGGAUUAAUUUAUAAUUUUUUAAAAAUUUAUUUAUUCAAUCCCGGGGCGUUCUAUAUAGUUAUGUAUAAUAGUAUUUAUAUUAUUUAUACCUCUAACUCGAGC
rnacentral:rRNA from 1 species